rnacentral:lncRNA from 1 species
GGGUAAAUGGAGGCCCCUGGGAUGGCCUCCCAGGUGGCCCCUCUAAUGGAUCCUCCUGUCUCCUGAUUUCCAGUCCGGGUGCCAGCUCCUACUGCCUCACUCCUCCUAGGUCUCCUCCUGGGCUCCAAGGUGCUGCUGCUGGUUGAUGUCUCUGCUGCCUACGUCCACCGGAAGCAGAAGGCCUGACUGUAAGUGUAGAGGAGGGAGGGUGGGCCAAGGGCUGCUCCAGAAGGUCAGGCCAGCAGGAGCCACGCAGCCUCAGGGUGAGUGGAGUUUGGAGAAGGUGAUGGGGCUUCCUCAGCACCCUCAGAAGUCUCAGUCAGGGAACCCUCUAGGAGAAUCCCAACCCCAGGAAGUGUGUGGGUGCUGCAGGAGGUGGGCUACCGCAAGGGUGUUCAAAGGUGUCCACAGCACCCUAGGGGCCCAUAGGGGAGGUGGGGAGAGGGGGCUGAAUGAGGGCCAACUUUGUGGGUGGUCCCUUGCAGGCCAUCUCUCAAUUAUUUGAUGCUGUACUCCAUGGCGUCUAAGGAAUCCCCACUGUAGAGUACUGUUGAGACGCCUCAAGUGGGCUGCUCUUAGUGCUCUCAGGCUCUCAGCGCCUGAGUGGCAGGUAUGAGGGAAAGAGCGUCAGGACUUGGGAGGAGGGCUGAGCAGGUGAAAUUCUGUCUCAGGGCUCCCUGUCCACCCACAAUAGGCAUCCCAGGAGGAAGACCAGCACUGAGGACAUAGCAGACUCUCAGGAAUCAUUUCUUGAAUGAUGAGCAGAUGACUAAAUGUGGACGUGUUUCCCACAGCUCCUUUCCUCCUCCCCCGCCAUGUGGGACCCUCAGUCUGUGCUGCCUCCUUCCUUCCUUGAAGGGCUCAGCUGGAGAGAAGGAGCUGGCGAGAAGCUUCCCCAGACUCAGCUCCAAAUGCCUAUCCUCCCAGGACAUCUUCCUGCCCACAGGCUCCUGUUACUCCUUUGCAGAGUCCUUGAUGCUCCAUAGCAGGGUCUUCAUUCAUGGUCCUGAGCAGAGGCCAUGGGAUGGGGCUCUGGGGAGUGACUCACGACACCUCCCUAGGAUGUGGGAAACAUGCCAAAUCUAAACACAUUAGGACUCCUUGCAUCCAUCGCCUUGGGACUGGCCAUAAACCAUAGACUCUCUCUAGCCUCUCAAGAGUUAUUCUGCCAUCUGGAUUCCUGCCUACUCCAACUUCCCAGCCUUGAGAAGUUUGAGAUCUCCCCAGCACAGACAUUUGGACGGAGCAGGCUCCUGAGGUCUCCAGGAUACCCAUCCCAGCCACCUGGCCCCACCCUCCUGGUCCUUUCCUGCUGCUGAUUCUGCUGCUGGGAUGCACAGCUACCUCACUCCUCAGACAACAUAGCAG